rnacentral:rRNA from 1 species
CCUACGGGAUGCACCAGCUGGGAAUCUUGGACAAUGGGGGAAACCCUGAUCCAGCCAUGCCGCGUGAGUGAUGAAGGCCUUCGGGUUGUAAAACUCUUUCGACGGGGACGAUAAUGACGGUACCCGUAGAAGAAGCUCCGGCUAACUUCGUGCCAGCAGCCGCGGUAAUACGAAGGGGGCUAGCGUUGUUCGGAAUUACUGGGCGUAAAGCGCGCGCAGGCGGUUUUUCAAGUCAGUGGUGAAAGCCCGGAGCUCAACUCCGGAACUGCCAUUGAAACUGUGAAACUUGAGGAUGAGAGAGGUGAGUGGAAUUCCCAGUGUAGAGGUGAAAUUCGUAGAUAUUGGGAAGGACACCGGUGGCGAAGGCGGCUCACUGGCUCAUUACUGACGCUCAGGCGCGACAGCGUGGGGAUCAAACAGGAUUAGAUACCCGAGUAGUC